rnacentral:lncRNA from 1 species
CAUCUCGGCUCACUGCAACCUCCCUGCCUGAUUCUCCUGCCUCAGUCUGCCGAAUGCCUGCGAUUGCAGGCACGCGCCGCCACGCCUGACUGGUUUUGGUGGAGACGGGGUUUCGCUGUGUUGGCCGGGCCGGUCUCCAGCCCCUAACCGCGAGUGAUCCGCCAACCUCGGCCUCCCGAGGUGCCGGGAUUGCAGACGGAGUCUCGUUCACUCAGUGCUCAAUGGUGCCCAGGCUGGAGUGCAGUGACGUGAUCUCGGCUCACUACAACCUACACCUCCCAGCCGCCUGCCUUGGCCUCCCAAAGUGCCGAGACUGCAGCCUCUGCCCGGCCGCCACCCCGUCUGGGAAGUGAGGAGUGUCUCUGCCUGGCCGCCCAUCGUCUGGGAUGUGAGGAGCCCCUCUGCCUGGCUGCCCAGUCUGGAAAGUGAGGAGCGUCUCCGCCCGGCCGCCAUCCCAUCUAGGAAGUGAGGAGCGCCUCUUCCCAGCCGCCAUCACAUCUAGGAAGUGAGGAGCGUCUCUGCCCGGCCGCCCAUAGUCUGAGAUGUGGGGAGCGCCUCUGCCCCGCCGCCCCAUCUGGGAUGUGAGGAGCGCCUCUGCCCGGCCGAGACCCCGUCUGGGAGGUGAGGAGCGUCUCUGCCCGGCCAGCCACCCCGUCCGGGAGGGAGAUGGGGGGGUCAGCCCCACCACCUGGCCAGCCGCCCCGUCCGGGAGGGAGGUGGGGGGGUCAGCCCCCCGCCUGGCCAGCCGCCCCAUCCGGGAGGGAGGUGGGGGGCGUCAGCCCUCCGCCCGGCCAGCCGCCCCAUCUGGGAUGUGAGGAGCGCCUCUGCCCGGCGAGACCCCGUCUGGGAGGUGAGGAGCGUCUCUGCCCGGCCGCCCCGUCUGAGAAGUGAGGAGACCCUCUGCCUGGCAACCACCCCGUCUGAGAAGUGAGGAGCCCCUCCGCCCGGCAGCUGCCCUGUCUGAGAAGUGAGGAGCCUCUCCGCCCGGCAGCCACCCCAUCUGGGAAGUGAGGAGCGUCUCCGCCCGGCAGCCACCCCAUCCGGGAGGGAGGUGGGGGGGGUCAGCCCCCCGCCCGGCCAGCCGCCCCAUCCGGGAGGGAGGUGGGGGGUCAGCCCCCCCGCCCGGCCAGCCGUGCCAUCCGGGAGGGAGGUGGGGGGGUCAGCCCCCCGCCUGGCCAGCCGCCCUGUCCGGGAGGGAGGUGGGGGGGUCAGCCCUCCGCCCAGCCAGCCGCCCCGUCUGGGAGGUGAGGGGCGCCUCUGCCCGGCCGCCCCUACUGGGAAGUGAGGAGGCCCUCUGCCCGGCCAGCCGCCCCGUCCGGGAGGGAGGUGGGGGGGUCAGCCCCCCGCCCGGCCAGCCGCCCCGUCCGGGAGGGAGGUGGGGGGGGGUCAGCCCCCCUGCCUGGCCAGCCGCCCCGUCCGGGAGGUGAGGGGCGCCUCUGCCCGGCCACCCCUACUGGGAAGUGAGGAGCCCCUCUGCCCGGCCACCACCCCGUCUGGGAGGUGUGCCCAACAGCUCAUUGAGAACGGGCCAGGAUGACAAUGGCGGCUUUGUGGAAUAGAAAGGCGGGAAAGGUGGGGAAAAGAUUGAGAAAUCGGAUGGUUGCCGUGUCUGUGUAGAAAGAAGUAGACAUGGGAGACUUUUCAUUUUGUUCUGUACUAAGAAAAAUUCCUCUGCCUUGGGAUCCUGUUGAUCUGUGACCUUACCCCCAACCCUGUGCUGUGUCCACUCAGGGUUAAAUGGAUUAAGGGCGGUGCAGGAUGUGCUUUGUUAAACAGAUGCUUGAAGGCAGCAUGCUCGUUAAGAGUCAUCACCACUCCCUAAUCUCAAGUAAUCAGGGACACAAACACUGCGGAAGGCCGCAGGGUCCUCUGCCUAGGAAAACCAGAGACCUUUGUUCACUUGUUUAUCUGCUGACCUUCCCUCCACUAUUGUCCCAUGACCCUGCCAAAUCCCCCUCUGCGAGAAACACCCAAGAAUGAUCAAUAAAAAAAUAAAUUAAAAAAAAA